UACGUAGGGUGCGAGCGUUGUCCGGAAUUACUGGGCGUAAAGGGCGCGUAGGCGGCCUGCUAAGUCGAACGUGAAAUCCCCGGGCUCAACCCGGGAACUGCGUCCGAUACUGGUUGGCUUGAAUCCGGGAGAGGGAUGCGGAAUUCCAGGUGUAGCGGUGAAAUGCGUAGAUAUCUGGAGGAACACCGGUGGCGAAGGCGGCAUCCUGGACCGGUAUUGACGCUGAGGCGCGAAAGCUAGGGGAGCAAACGGG
rnacentral:rRNA from 1 species